rnacentral:tRNA from 1 species
GGAGGGAUGGCCGAGCGGUUAAUGGCAGCAGACUGUAAAUCUGCCCUCUUCUGAGUUCGCAGGUUCGAAUCCUGCUCCCUCCACCA